AAUAGAAAAAAUAACAAUCCUUAACAUAAUUCCUAACAAAUUCUAUUUUAUUUUAAUUUUAUCCUAACCAACUUUACACCUCAUCCUAAACCUACCCCACCCCCUACUCACCACCACAUACCCUGUAACCCCUGACCCUCCUUUCACGUUAUUUUGGCCUGGAACAGAAUAGAAUAAAGGGGAUAUGCACACACCAUAACAAAGGGGGAUUCCAGGAUCUGGGGAGAAAAAGGAAAAAAAUACAUACGUAUGAACCUUUUCUUUUUUGCUUCUUCUUGGUUGAUCGAAUACACUUACAUACACAGAAUAGAUAUACACAACACACACACGGACAGAGAGAGGGAGAGAGAGUUGCGAGAAAGAGAGAGAUUUGCGAGAGAGGGAGAGAUCCGGGAUUGAAAUCGAAAGAGAACGAUGGUGAAGCAGUUUCCGGUGAGUGAGGGCUUGAGGAACACGAUUUGGUCGUUUGAUUACUGUUCCGACGACAGACUCGCCGAAAUCGCGUCUAGCUGCCACAAAUUCCUUCAAAACCCAUUAGAAUACGUCUUAAUUGAUAUAUCUUUGUCGUUUUGGCCAUAGCCGAAGUUUACCGGGGUUACAUUGACACAAAAUCAUCAAAAAAACCUCGAUCUGCUUUCGAUUCCGUCCAAACCCAUUAGAAUCGGGUCAAAUUUCUCUUAUUUCUCAUAAUUUUUAGUUCGAGGUUGUGUGGGUUCAUGAGAAUCUGGUUCAGGUCUCUUUGUUUCUGUGAUUCUCAGUUUCGAGUUGGACGAGUUCGUUUGUUUGAGGUUCGGUUCGAAGUUUUCGGGUGCAGACUUUCUUUAUUCAAAGAACAUUGAAUUCGAAAGCUUCAAAUAAGGGAAUGCCCUGAAGUAUUAUGUACUUGGAGAACGUUCGUGAUGAAGGCCCGAGGUAUCGGGUGAGGCAUUGGGGCUUAGUCUAGGAUUAAUUUAGAAUAGGAUUUACAUUUUCAUAUUUUUUUAUUUUUGGGACUGUACAACUAGGACUGGAUACUAUAUUUUUGAUUCAUUUUGUUUUGUUUGUUGGUUUGAUUUUUUA